GGACUACCGGGGUAUCUAAUCCCGUUCGCUCCCCUAGCUUUCGCCCCUGAGCGUCAGGUGCCACCCAGAACACUGCCUUCGCCUUUGGUAUUCCUCCGGAUAUCUACGCAUUUCACCACUCCACCCGGAAUUCUGUGUUCCUCUGUGGCCCUCAAGUGCGCCAGUCUGUGGGACACUCGACCGGUUAAGCCGGUCGCUGUCACCCCACACUUGGUGCACCGCCUGCGGGCGCUUUACGCCCAAUAAAUCCGGACAACGCUCGCCCCCUACGUAUUACCGCGGCUGCUGGCAC
rnacentral:rRNA from 1 species